AACUGCGGGAGAGUUCGGUCUGCGAUGGGCAUGACCGGCGCCGAAGGAGCAACGACCCCGGAAUCUCUCAGGCAUCAGGGACCGCGUU
rnacentral:ncRNA from 1 species